CGGCCAAGUCAAUGGCUUCCUCCACAGACAUCCCGCUGUGGUAAUGCCUAUCCAUCAUUGAUAAGGAGAAGUAGGAUCCAUAGCCAAAUGCACCCUUCUCGAUUUUAUGACAAGUCGCGAUGUAAUCAAUGUAGUACAGAGAUGGUCCAAUAUCCUUGUCGUACCCCGCUAAUAGAAGGUUAACCGAGUAAGGAUUCUUCCGGAGAGCGGUGGCCAGCUCCCCGCGCGUGAAGUUGGCGGUGGCGGCAGUGGACAGCGGGAUCCCAUUCCGGAACUGGUAGAGGUGGACGUUCUUCUGGAUGUACUCCGUGAACUGAACCCGGUCGCCGCCCUCGCCGGAGGCGCCGAGUAGCUUGUGGGAGUCAAGGAUCAUGAUCUUGUCCUCGUUGGUCUUGUGGACGAGGAUGCUGUUCACGGCGGAGGAGUCGGCGGCGAUCAGCGCGAAGCCAUCGCCGACGAGGCCGAAUACGCACUCCAUGGUGUCGUUCUGAGGGGAAGGUUGGGCGAGGGGGGAGAGUUGAAGAGGG
rnacentral:misc_RNA from 1 species